rnacentral:tRNA from 1 species
UGCAUCAGCCGGGAAUCAAACCCAGGCCGCCCGCGUGGCAGGCGAGCAUUCUACCACUGAACCACCGAUGC